rnacentral:rRNA from 1 species
GACGAACGCUGGCGGCGUACUUAACACAUGCAAGUCGAGCGGUAAGGCUCCUUCGGGAGUACACGAGCGGCGAACGGGUGAGUAACACGUGAGCAAUCUGCCCUUCACUUUGGGAUAACUUCCGGAAACGGAAGCUAAUACCGAAUACGACCAUCACAGACAUCUGUUGAUGGUGGAAAGUUCCGGCGGUGAAGGAUGAGCUCGCGGCCUAUCAGCUUGUUGGUGAGGGUAACGGCCCACCAAGGCGACGACGGGUAGCCGGCCUGAGAGGGUGACCGGCCACACUGGGACU